rnacentral:tRNA from 1 species
UCCCGUGUGGCUCAGUUGGUAGAGCAUGGUGUUUGCAACGCCAGGGUUGUCGGUUCGAUUCUCACGGGGG